CCUACGGGUGGCAGCAGUGGGGAAUAUUGGACAAUGGGCGAAAGCCUGAUCCAGCCAUGCCGCGUGUGUGAAGAAGGCCUUCGGGUUGUAAAGCACUUUCAGUGGGGAAGAAAGCCUUGGGGCUAAUACCCUCGAGGAAGGACAUCACCCACAGAAGAAGCACCGGCUAACUCCGUGUCAGCAGCCGCGGUAAUACGGAGGGUGCGAGCGUUAAUCGGAAUUACUGGGCGUAAAGCGCGCGUAGGCGGUCUGAUAAGCCGGGUUGUGAAAGCCCCGGGCUCAACCUGGGAACGGCAUCCGGAACUGUCAGGCUAGAGUGCAGGAGAGGAAGGUAGAAUUCCCGGUGUAGCGGUGAAAUGCGCAGAGAUCGGGAGGAAUACCAGUGGCGAAGGCGGCCUUCUGGACUGAAACUGACGCUGAGGUGCGAAAGCGUGGGUAGCAAACAGGAUUAGAUACCCGAGUAGUC
rnacentral:rRNA from 1 species